UAGGGAAUCUUCCACAAUGGACGAAAGUCUGAUGGAGCAACGCUGCGUGAGUGAAGAAGGGUUUCGGCUCGUAAAACUCUGUUGUUAAAGAAGAACAUAUCUGAGAGUAACUGUUCAGGUAUUGACGGUAUUUAACCAGAAAGCCACGGCUAACUACGUGCCAA
rnacentral:rRNA from 1 species